UUUCAGAUUGUGUGUAUUGACCAGAGAACCCGAUACUUACACUGGAUAACUAAUGAGUGGUUUUGAGAGAUGUUACACACCAAAGUCAACAGAUCGAGGUCUUAGCCUAUACGGACGUGUAUUUACAGUUGUAGUAUCCGGGUUUGCAUUUUCAGAAACAUAAAGAACAUCCCUUGCUUCAGUAGUGUUCAGUUGCUGCAGUCGAAGGUCUGGUGUGUCAGUCAUUUCAACAUUCAUAAAAGGAGGAGACAGAAUGGCAACAUUUUCUGCGACAAUGUCUGGAACUGACUGCCAAGAGUGGCUGAGAUACUUACUGCAGAAACCUUUCAGAUACUGGUUAAAGAGACAUAUACAGUCGGCAGAUUCCAAAAAGUAGUUUGAACAUCUGAGGAGAGAUCUGUCCUCCCUAUUACAAGGGUUGGGGAGACUAGCUGAUCAUUUCAUAGCUGAUAAAUUGCCCAGAGAUUUCCUGAUGGCCAGGUGCUUUUGGAGAGACUGAUACAUAUGGUUGUAUAUGGCAGUAGAGUGAAGCUGUUUGAACUUACAUCUACAGAGCAGAGUGUUCUACAGACUGAUCUGAUUGAAGUGCUUACUUUGUGAGAGCAUGCAGGCAGCUAAAGACAGAAGGUCAACAAAAUCAGGGGGUUUUUUUUAAAGCAAGAAGACAACAACAGAAAAUGUGAAAAUAGAAAGAAGAUCAAGGGAACAAAGGAACCUGAAUAGAAUAAACUUUUAUAGAUUCAGGAUUUACGCUAAAACUAAAUUUAUGAUAAGAACAGUAGUGAUGGAUUAACCUCCCAUAUAUUUUAGCCUGCUGGUGGCAAAUGAUUUUGCCUUUGCGACCAAGAUCAGCCUGCACGUUCUUCCCAAACCAAGAAGCUUCAAUAUUUUAUCUACUGUUAAAGAUUGAGGGCGUAUUAGAAUCAAAAUAACUUAUAGCAAAAGCAUGUUUUAACACUAUUUAUACACUCGGGCGUUAAUACGUCAUACUAAUUAUGCUCAGCGUGUAACCACCCAUCGUGUAUAAAUAGUGUUAAAACACUCUUUGCAUAAACUAUUUCUUAAAUAAUGUUUUCCAUGAAGAGAAUAUAUAUUCUAUCUGUUUUUGUUGAAAAAUGAGACAUUGUAUAAUACAGAUUAAGCAGGUCACUGUUUUGUUACAAGCUUAUUUCAAACCUGAAAGUUCUGUCCAAAAUCAUGCAAUACUGUUACUUAAAUUUAUAUAUAUAGAUAGAUAAAACUUAAAAUCAAAGGAGUGGACAGAUUAUUCAGUGAAUAAAGUUUUUAUGCAAGUCAUUCCUAGUUUUUGUAUAAAAGCAGAAUAGUAUUAAGUAUUUUAGACUACCAAGCAUUGUACGAAAGAGUUCAAAAUUACAAUCUAGAAUGAUAAAAAAAUCUAUGCUAUGAACCAGCAAGGAUGCAGUUAGAUUUGCAUCUGUUCCUCCAUCUGUUCCAAUCUUGUUUGCAGGG